UACAGGGGGUGCAAACGUUGCUCGGAAUUAUUGGGCGUAAAGAGCUCGUAGGCGGUCUGUCGCGUCGAUCGUGAAAACUCGGGGCUUAACCCCGAGCCUGCAGUGGAUACGGGCAGACUAGAGGUAGGUAGGGGAGAAUGGAAUUCCCGGUGUAGCGGUGAAAUGCGCAGAUAUCGAGAGGAACACCGGUGGCGAAGGCGGUUCUCUGGGCCUUACCUGACGCUGAGGAGCGAAAGCGUGGGGAGCGAACAGG
rnacentral:rRNA from 1 species